CGGAAGAAAGAGGGGGACCCGCAAGGGCCUCUCGCGAGCGGAGCGGCCGAUGACUGAUUAGCCGGUUGGUGAGGUAACGGCUCACCAAAGCAACGAUCAGUAGCUGGUCUGAGAGGACGACCAGCCACACUGGGACUGAGACACGGCCCAGACUCCUACGGAAGGCAGCAG
rnacentral:rRNA from 1 species